CUGGGUUAUAGGAUCUAGACUAACACAUUGGCUCUUUCUCACUUAGGGAAGAAGUGGCAGCAGAGAGUGGCUCCAAGGCCUGGACUUGCUGUGCUUGAUUUACUGUCUUCCCAGCGAUGAGGAGGAAGCCCAUUGAGACCUCCCAGGUCCAUUUGCUUUUAUCUGCCCUGUGAUCUGUCAGCAUCCUCCUUGCUCCUCAACGGGAGAAGAUUUGUCUUGGACACCAUGAUGGACCUAUAAGAAGAAGAUACAGCAGUGUCCUCAGAACCCUUCCUAAAAAGGCAAUCAAAAGCCCAACUCAGCUGGAAUGGAAAUGGAAAUGCAAAGGCAGCGUGUCCUCUAGACUGGAUGAUUCACCCGUUGGAAACUAUCUCGGGCUCCCAAGAUAAUUGUGGAAUGUCAGUUCACUGCAGAGUG
rnacentral:lncRNA from 1 species